rnacentral:tRNA from 1 species
ACGUGCCUAGCUCAACUGGCAGAGCGCUGGACUCCAAAUCCAGAGGUUCGGGGUUCGACUCCCUGGGUGCGUGCCA